UGGGGAAUUUUGGACAAUGGGCGCAAGCCUGAUCCAGCCAUGCCGCGUGCGGGAAGAAGGCCUUCGGGUUGUAAACCGCCUUUGUCAGGGAAGAAAUCUUCUGAGUUAAUACCUCGGGAGGAUGACGGUACCUGAAGAAUAAGCACCGGCUAACUACGUGCCAGCAGCCGCGGUAAUACGUAGGGUGCAAGCGUUAAUCGGAAUUACUGGGCGUAAAGCGUGCGCAGGCGGUUUUGUAAGACAGAGGUGAAAUCCCCGGGCUCAACCUGGGAACUGCCUUUGUGACUGCAAGGCUUGAGUGCGGCAGAGGGGGAUGGAAUUCCGCGUGUAGCAGUGAAAUGCGUAGAUAUGCGGAGGAACACCGAUGGCGAAGGCAAUCCCCUGGGCCUGCACUGACGCUCAUGCACGAAAGCGUGGGGAGCAAAACAGGAUUAGAUGGCCCUGGUAGUCCACGCCCUAAAACGAUGUCAACUGGUUGUUGGGAAGGUUCCUUCUCAGUAACGUAGCUAACGCGUGAAGUUGACCGCCUGGGGAGUACGGCCGCAAGGUUG
rnacentral:rRNA from 1 species